rnacentral:rRNA from 1 species
UAGCCAGACUCCUACGGGAGGCAGCAGUGGGGGAUAUUGCACAAUGGGGGGAACCCUGAUGCAGCGACGCCGCGUGAGUGAAGAAGGCCUUCGGGUCGUAAAGCUCUGUUGCGGGGGAAAAAGGCAGCAUCAGGAAAUGGGUGCUGACUGAUGGUGCCCCGCCAGAAAGCCCCGGCUAACUACGUGCCAGCAGCCGCGGUAAUACGUAGGGGGCAAGCGUUAUCCGGAUUUACUGGGUGUAAAGGGAGCGUAGACGGAAAGGCAAGUCAGAAGUGAAAACCCAAGGCUCAACCAUGGGACUGCUUUUGAAACUGUCAAACUAGAGUACGGGAGAGGUAAGAGGAAUUCCUAGUGUAGCGGUGAAAUGCGUAGAUAUUAGGAGGAACACCAGUGGCGAAGGCGUCUUACUGGACCGAAACUGACGUUGAGGCUCGAAAGCGUGGGGAGCAAACAGGAUUAGAUACCCCUGUA